CUUCCAGCUCGUGGAAGGUCUGGAUGAAUCCUUCUUGUGAUAUAGACCACGACCACGGACUUGUUGGCUUUUUCAACCGGUAAUUUUCAUAUCAAAUUUCACCUACGAAACAGGGCUGAUAAUUUUUCAUGGAGCCUGGUCGCAGUCUAUGGGGCUACCCAAGAUGAGCAUGAAUCUGCUUUCCUCCGUGAGCUAGUGAACCUGGCUAAGGAUAACCUGUACCCAAUGCUUAUUGGAGUGGAUUUUAAUAUACUUAGGUACCAUGAAGAAAAAAAUAAUGACCGCUUCGACACUCAUUGGCCUUUCCUUCUCAAUGAUGUGAUUGACAGUUUGUUUCUUCGAGAGGCCCGUAUGUCGGUGCGGCAGUUCAGUUGGGCUAAUAACUGUUCUAUGCCGACGUAUGAGAAGCUCGAUAGGGUACUCAUGGAUACCGAAUGGGAGCUUAAAUUUCCUAUGAUAACUGUGCGAGCCCUAGAGAGAAUCGAGGCUUUAUCGGAUCAUCACUACUGGAAUCAUCUUCUUUGCCGUCUGCCACUUCUUUGCCAUCCGCUAGCUGACGGAAAGAGCUUCUUUGCCGUCAGUUUCUCCAAAGCAGACGACAAAGAAAUAGCUGAUGGCACAGGUUAUUUUGCCGUCAGCCAAUACUUUGCCGUCAGCUCGCGGACGGCAAAUAGUUCUUUGUCGUCAGCUGGCCAACGGCAAAGAAAUUUGUGGGCCCACAGACGCAAGGCUAUGGCUACGUCAGCUCUUUGCCGUCAGCCAUUUCUUUGUCAUUCGCUAGGCUAA
rnacentral:rRNA from 1 species